rnacentral:rRNA from 1 species
AUUGAACGCUGGCGGCAUGCUUUACACAUGCAAGUCGAACGGUAACAGGCCUUCGGGCGCUGACGAGUGGCGAACGGGUAAGUAAUGCAUCGGAACGUGCCCAGUCGUGGGGGAUAACGCAGCGAAAGCUGUGCUAAUACCGCAUACGAUCUGUGGAUGAAAGCGGGGGACCUUCGGGCCUCGCGCGAUUGGAGCGGCCGAUGUCAGAUUAGGUAGUUGGUGGGGUAAAGGCUCACCAAGCCAACGAUCUGUAGCUGGUCUGAGAGGACGACCAGCCACACUGGGACUGAGACACGGCCCAGACUCCUACGGGAGGCAGCAGUGGGGAAUUUUGGACAAUGGGCGCAAGCCUGAUCCAGCAAUGCCGCGUGCAGGAAGAAGGCCUUCGGGUUGUAAACUGCUUUUGUACGGAACGAAACGGUCCUGGUUAAUACCUGGGGCUAAUGACGGUACCGUAAGAAUAAGCACCGGCUAACUACGUGCCAGCAGCCGCAGUAAGAC